rnacentral:rRNA from 1 species
UCCGGUGGUUAUACCGGAGGGGCCACACCCGUUCCCAUUCCGAACACGGAAGUUAAGACCUCCAGGGCUGAUGAUACUUGGGCCGCGAGGCCCUGGGAAAGUAAGUCAUUGCCGGAU